UACGAAGGAUUCGAGCGUUAUCCGGAUUUAUUGGGUCUAAAGGGUGCGUAGGCGGACUGAUAAGUCAGUGGUGAAAUCCUGUUGCUUAACAACAGAACUGCCAUUGAUACUGCCAGUCUUGAGUACAGUUGAGGUAGGCGGAAUGUGUCAUGUAGUGGUGAAAUACUUAGAUAUGACACAGAACACCGAUUGCGAAGGCAGCUUGCUAAACUGUAACUGACGCUGAGGCACGAAAGCAUGGGGAGCAAACAGG
rnacentral:rRNA from 1 species